GAAAGGAGGAAUCCGGUGGCGGCUGGGCAUGCGGCGCAUUAGCUUGACGGCGGGGUAACGGCCCACCGUGGCGACGAUGCGUAGGGGUUCUGAGAGGAAGGCCCCCCACACUGGAACUGAGACACGGUCCAGACUCCUACGGGAGGCAGCAGUGAGGAAUAUUGGUCAAUGGGCGGAAGCCUGAACCAGCCAAGUCGCGUGAGGGAAUAAGGCCCUACGGGUCGUAAACCUCUUUUGCCGGGGAGCAAGGGCCGGGACGCGUCCCGGCCCGGAGAGUACCCGGAGAAAAAGCAUCGGCUAACUCCGUGCCAGCAGCCGCGGUAAUACGGAGGAUGCGAGCGUUAUCCGGAUUUAUUGGGUUUAAAGGGUGCGUAGGCGGGCUUUUAAGUCAGCGGUAAAAAUUCGGGGCUCAACCCCGUCCGGCCGUUGAAACUGGGGGCCUUGAGUGGGCGAGAAGAAGGCGGAAUGCGUGGUGUAGCGGUGAAAUGCAUAGAUAUCACGCAGAACCCCGAUUGCGAAGGCAGCCUUCCGGCGCCCUACUGACGCUGAGGCACGAAAGUGCGGGGAUCGAACAGGAUUAGAUACCCUGGUAGUCCGCACAGUAAACGAU
rnacentral:rRNA from 1 species